UUACUUUGUCCUGAAGACCAAAGUGACAGCAGAUACAGGAAUCUGGAAACCGCAGAAGAAUUCAGGAAGAGCUCAGUGGGACAAGCAGCAUCUGUGGAGGCAAAAUAAUCACGCCAACGUUUCAGGUGCAGUUUGGCCUGCUGAAUGUUUCCAGCAUUUUCUGUUUCUACUAGCGCCAUGAAAUUUGGGAACCACCGAUCUGUGCAUGAGGGGACAAUUUCCAUAUUGAUGUCCACCAGGAGUGAUUUACAAUAAUUAUUAACCACCAAACAUCCUUGAGAUAUUGGAGACAACUGCAGACCCAGUGGAAACUCAUGCAGGUGGAACAUGUAAACUCCAGAGAAACAGCACACGAGAUCAGAAUCAAUGCCGGGUCACCUGAGCAAUAACUUUGUGCCACUGUUCUACCCUAUCCGAAGAUCCCAUCCUUCAAUUUCUGCCAACUUCGAUGAGAUUCCGCUAACACAUACAGUUCUUUCCUUUCAGCAUUCCUUCCACAACUACCUGGUCUAUUCUUUCAUCAGCAAGUCCACUUCUUGAAGCACCUUCACAUGCAACAUCCACCUUUUACCUCAUCCCUUCCCAUCAGUGAUUCAAACAUCACUUUCAGGUGAAGAAUCAAUUCUCUUGGACUUCCGGCAAUUUCUAAUGGUACACUGGAGAAGCCAAAUGAAGACUGGGUGACAGCUUUACAGAUUCUUCAUUCAGUUCACAAGGCUAGUCCCAAGCUUCUGAGUUAUCUGUGUGAGGUCCUGGGUACUCCAAUGAGGCAUAAUGUAAGUGUCAUCUUCCAUUACGGUUUGUUGCAGAUUACCACACCUAGUAUUGUAAUUAAUAUUGUCAGAAAACUUGCUUUUGCCUUGUAUCAGAAAUGGCCAAUUCUGUGACAUCACAUCCCCCCCCCCCCCAUCCCAUUGACACCGUCUAAUCUGCUGGCAUUUCCUAGAGCUCUUUCCUACAACUCAGAGCUUUUGCAUGCCCUUCUGCUUGAUUUCUCUAACAGUUCUGAGUAAUCUAUCAGCCAGAUGACUUCACAAUGCCAAUCCUGAUCCCAUCUCAGAUGUAUUCCUUUUGUCUGUGCAUCCCUCCAUGUUUACUAUAACUUUAAUCUAGCCAUCUUCUCCUGUCUUUCUUGGUAUUAUCGUAUUGUCUUUGAGCUGAAGAUACUGGCUCCUUUCCACGGGCACUGUUUGACCUAUUGGGAGGAUCCAGUAUUUUACGCUCUUCAGAAAAAUAUCCAGCACCUGCAGUUCUUCUCAAGAAUGCUCAUUCCAUCAGGAAAAUCAAAACCCCCACUCAAGCAUUUCCCACAAAAACUAAAUCAUUUCACCUUCUUGGCUGAGAACUCCCACCUCGUUCAACCAGGAUACGGGUCCUUUCACGGAAAUGUGGAAAACUGAUGAACUACAAAAGAACAACAAAUGCCUACAAACAGAACAGAUAAGCAUCCACGGCAAUAGCAAAAACUGCCAACAGUGGAAAAAAAUAAAGGCAAAAAGAAUGUGUUCAUUUCUGUUAUACUCUAUUAAAAACAAGCACUAAGUGAUAUAUUGAUGCCAUCAUAUUUUAUAUAGCUUGGGAUCCCACAAAGGAUUUGCUCUUAAUCAUGCUUUUAAAAUUCUGUUUUUCUAUAAUAUAUAAUAUAAUUCUAGCAAUUAUUUAAAAAUAAGGCCAGUGAACCUUGAAGAUACUUUCAUUUUCUUACUUGAACUUUGUAGCUCUCAUUUAAUAAUGGAAUCCUCCUUACAUGGCUGCUAUUAAACAAAGAUAUUUCAGCAUUAUCUAAAUUAAGCCAUCCAUCAUCCUGUAAUACAGGGCUAGUUGAUCAUAAAUUCUACACGAUCGGGACAAAAACAAACAUCUCAAUUGUUCCAUGUGGUUUUCCCUGGCCGUCUCAUGUCAGAGAGCAUUCCCAAAACUUGAGCAUGCGAUCAUUUUUCCUUGAGCUGAUUUCUCAUUUGAUUCUACACAUCAUGAUCUUGUAUCUUUGUUAUUUGAUGUUGCAUUCAGAAUAAACUAUACACCAGACAAAAAUGGUUUAUAGCAAGCUGUGGAAUUCAUUGCCACAGGAAUCUGUAGUGCCAGGUCAUUGGGUAUAUUUAGAGUGCAGGUUGAUAGGUUCUUGAUAAGGGCAUCAAAGGUUACAGGGAGGGCAGGAGAAUGGGGCUGAGUGUAAAUAUAAAUCAGCCAUGAUGGAAGACCAUAUGGGCUGAAGGGCUUAAUUCUGAUCCUAUGUCCUUAGGUCCAGAGAAAAAAAAAGGCAUUUCAGGACUGGAGGUUUGAAAACCCUUCUUCUCAUGAGGGAUGGUAGCUGUUUGGAGUACUGUUUACAAACUAAUCCCAAGUCAUUUAUUAAACUUAUGAUCUAAUAUUAUUUUUAAUUAGCAAAUACCCAAGAGAGUCAUCAAUGGGUAUAAAACAUAGGUGACCAGUCAAGAUCAAACAGUCUAGUGGAACAGGUUUAGCAGGCCAAAGAGCUUAUUCUCAAUCGUAGAGCACCUGGGCCACUGAACAGUCCCAAAGGCACUUUGAAUGCACACUCUUUAAUAAACUGAGCACACACAGAAUGACAUAGGAAGUAAAAGAUUAGGAGAGGAGUAAAAAUUCUUUGUGUGUAAGCAUUGAUACUUUGCAUCACCUGCUGGUUAUAGAAACCCAGAAGCAAUAGGUAUCUAAAGUGUACAUUAGAAAUGCAUUACUGCAUCGUGAAAAUGAAGUGAUCUCAUUAAAAGGCAUAAAAUACACAUUGCAUUACAAAAUACAAUUUGCAAACAUUUCCAACUUCAAAUAUUGUUUGACCAAAAGCUGCUAUUGGACUUCUCAAAUGUUUUUGUUACUGUAUUUUCAAGUGGAAAAAGUUUGACAUUUAUCUUCCACUGAUAAAGCUUGGAUACAAGAUUUUUAUGCUUCUCUUUCAUUAUGACUUGUAUGCAAAAUGUUGAUAAAUGUUGAUAACCUUUAAUGUAUCAUGUAAAACUUUAUAACAGAUUCCAAUUAAAAGAAAGUGUCUCAAUGGAGACCUGUCAUCUCCAGAUUUAACUAUUAAAUAAUGCACCUCCUGACUGAUCCCUCAUCUUUCAACUCUACCAAAUUGAGCUCCACGGACACGAUGCAAAAUACCACAACAUGACUCUCAGUCAUCCAAAUUGAACAUUUUUAUUCUUGUUAAAAUCCCUUCAUAGUCUCAGUCUUUGAAAUAUCUACCAUCCUUUAGACAUUUAAUCCACUCCAAAUUCUAUUUGCCCAACCUUAUCAAUUCAUUUUCUUUCACUUGAUCUUGUUCUUUCAUAAAACUCCAUCUCUUCUCCAAAAGCCUUCCACAAAACUAACUUCAAGCCUUGUUAUCUAUCCUCCUAUUAACACCACUUCCUCAUGCCAGUAUGCAGUACCUUGGAAGGUUCUGCUUUUGUUAAGAUACUAUACAAAUAACAUGGUUGUGGUGUUAAAUAGCAAUUGGUCAGACGCUAUCUGACAAAACC